UCCACCUACAUCCACACCUCCACCUACAUCCACACCUCCACCUACAUCCACACCUCCUGCUGGUUCCCCUCUCAUAUCUGUGUUGUCAUCUGUUGGAUCAGCCUGUGUUGUGGUUUUACUGGUGUUACUGGUUCUGCUGGUGAGAACAUGUGUUCACAGGAAACCUGAAGACAGUGAUCCAGCUACAGUUUACUCAGCAGUGAGAACUGAAGACGUCACUUGUGGAAAAAUCAUCAUCAAAGACAAGAAGAAGAAAUCAAAUCUGAGAGGCUUGAGAUCAGCAAUGGCAGGGUUCAAGAGUUGUGUUUGUUUUUGUUUUGUGUGUGUGUUUGCGGGUUAAAUUCAACCAUUUGUGAAACAGAAAAUUGUGAGAACAUCAGUCAAACAGUCAGAAUAUGGAACAGUUCUUGCCCAAUAGUCCAGUUUUUUGUAUACAUCUUCUGAUGUGCAGAAAGUGUGUGAAUGCUCCUCGCAGACUCAUCU